UCAUGGGAGUCUCAAACAUGAAAACAUGGUUAAUUUGUUUGGCUCUAAUUGGCAUAGUGGUGAUGGAAGAGGUGAUCCAAAUUGAUGCAGCAAUGACAAUCCACCAUCCAGAGGUCUCCGGUCUUGUUUCCUACCGUCGCCUUCUCCAAGAAGCUGUUAAUCCUUGGAAUCGUGGCUGCUCAAGACUCACUAGGUGUCGAAGUUAAUGUAUAUUUUGAUAAUAUGUGACGGUAUCUUACUUAUAUAAAUGUAGAAAGCUCUGCAUAUUAAGGCAACAUAAUUAAUACUUUUUAUCUCUUUCUUUUA